UGGUCCAGACUUUGAUUCUGGCUCAGGAUGAACGCUAGCUACAGGCUUAACACAUGCAAGUCGAGGGGCAGCAUAUCGGUAGCUUGCUACUGGUGAUGGCGACCGGCGCACGGGUGAGUAACGCGUAUCCAACCUUCCCAUGACUGGGGGAUAACCUUGCGAAAGUAAGACUAAUACCCCAUGGUUUCCGAGGCGGACAUCCAAUUUGGAAUAAAGAUUCAUCGGUCAUGGAUGGGGAUGCGUCUGAUUAGCUUGUUGGCGGGGUAACGGCCCACCAAGGCGACGAUCAGUAGGGGUUCUGAGAGGAAGGUCCCCCACAUUGGAACUGAGACACGGUCCAAACUCCUACGGGAGGCAGCAGUGAGGAAUAUUGGUCAAUGGACGAGAGUCUGAACCAGCCAAGUAGCGUGCAGGAUGACGGCCCUAUGGGUUGUAAACUGCUUUUAUACGGGAAUAAAGUCAAUCACGUGUGAUUGUUUGUAUGUACCGUAUGAAUAAGGACCGGCUAAUUCCGUGCCAGCAGCCGCGGUAAUACGGAAGGUCCGGGCGUUAUCCGGAUUUAUUGGGUUUAAAGGGAGCGUAGGCCGCCGAUUAAGCGUGUUGUGAAAUGCCGCAGCUCAACUGUGGCACUGCAGCGCGAACUGGUUGGCUUGAGUGCGCGGAAGGCAGGCGGAAUUUGUGGUGUAGCGGUGAAAUGCUUAGAUAUCACGAAGAACCCCGAUUGCGAAGGCAGCUUGCCGCAGCGUAACUGACGCUGAAGCUCGAAAGUGCGGGUAUCGAACAGGAUUAGAUACCCUGGUAGUCCGCACGGUAAACGAUGGAUGCCCGCUGUUCCGGCUAUAUGUUGGAGUGGCCAAGCGAAAGCGUUAAGCAUCCCACCUGGGGAGUACGCCGGCAACGGUGCAACUCAAAGGAAUUGACGGA
rnacentral:rRNA from 1 species